GCUCCGCCAGCGGCCUCGACAGGCCCAGGCGCGCUCCAGCCUGCGGCGGCAUGAAGGUGGGCGCGGAUGCCGCCGCCGCGAGGCUGCCCGCCUGCCCGGAGCCUGCCCCGCCGGGCGGGAAGGGCCAGGGAGGCUCCUGGCCGGGGGCGGAGAUUGAAGGACAUUUUGGGCUGGAAGGACCCGUUUUUCGAGUGAAGUCACAGAGGCCAGAGGACAGCAACCUCAGAGCCUGCCUGCCUCAAAGCCGAAGGAAGGGGCUCUGCUGACGAUGGAACUGCUCUCUCUGAAGGUGGAGGAUUGACAGGAGCUGCCUGGCUGAGGCCGAGGCAAGCCUUGUGCCCAGGCCAGAGCUGGAGCCCACAGCUGCAGCUGGGAAGAUGCCCCCAGGACCUCUGAGCAGUUUGCACAUGGCAUCGGGCCCCGUGGGUCCGGUCCACACCCCCGUCUUGCCCUGAGGGAGCCCAGCCCAGAGA
rnacentral:lncRNA from 1 species